UUGUCAAUUUUAUUAUACUUUAAACACUGCCACAUUUUUUUUAAUAGUGAUAUUGGUUUCUUUGCUAAUCUUUAAACAAUAUGCUCCAUCUCUCUUCAGGAAUUUUUCCUGUUUAGCUCCCAUGCCCUGAAUGCCCUCUCUUUCUGGAUACCCUCAUUCCUUCAAUUCCCAGGAACCAAUUGCAGUCUUUCAAUCUGCCUAGCACUGCCCAAGGGGGACAGUGAACUAAAACCAUAUGGACAAGCUUCUAGGAAGAAAACUGAAAAGCUAUUUAAAGACACUGCACCCAAGAGAAGAUGACCUAAGAGCUUUCCUGAUAGCCUGCUUGGCUUGAGCCAGCUUUUGCUUAUCAUUGGAUAUUGUUAUGUAUGGAAGAACUUCACAUCCUGGCAGCUCAACAUUUUAAAAAAUUAUAUAUAUUUAAAAUUUUUAUUUUUGAG
rnacentral:lncRNA from 1 species